rnacentral:rRNA from 1 species
UCCUGACUGACCGAUAGUGAACCAGUACCGUGAGGGAAAGGCGAAAAGAACCCCGGCGAGGGGAGUGAAAAAGAACCUGAAACCGUGUACGUACAAGCAGUGGGAGCACGCUUAGGCGUGUGACUGCGUACCUUUUGUAUAAUGGGUCAGCGACUUAUAUUCUGUAGCAAGGUUAACCGAAUAGGGGAGCCGAAGGGAAACCGAGUCUUAACUGGGCGUUAAGUUGCAGGGUAUAGACCCGAAACCCGGUGAUCUAGCCAUGGGCAGGUUGAAGGUUGGGUAACACUAACUGGAGGACCGAACCGACUAAUGUUGAAAAAUUAGCGGAUGACUUGUGGCUGGGGGUGAAAGGCCAAUCAAACCGGGAGAUAGCUGGUUCUCCCCGAAAGCUAUUUAGGUAGCGCCUCGUGAAUUCAUCUCCGGGGGUAGAGCACUGUUUCGGCAAGGGGGUCAUCCCGACUUACCAACCCGAUGCAAACUGCGAAUACCGGAGAAUGUUAUCACGGGAGACACACGGCGGGUGCUAACGUCCGUCGUGAAGAGGGAAACAACCCAGACCGCCAGCUAAGGUCCCAAAGUCAUGGUUAAGUGGGAAACGAUGUGGGAAGGCCCAGACAGCCAGGAUGUUGGCUUAGAAGCAGCCAUCAUU